rnacentral:lncRNA from 1 species
GGAACCAAACCGCUAACCAAAUAGGUAUCCAAAAUUUUAAAAUAAAAUUAUAUACACACAGAUAUUAAUCAUACUUAAUUUCUAGAUAGAUAAAUAUACUAAAAAUACUAUUUAUUAACAAAAUUACCUGAAUAUUUUUAUCCAUAAAUUUAAAAUUAUCCAAAUUAUUUGAUAUUUUUAUUCAAACCGUCUGAUAUUUAAAGCUGGUAUAAUUAUUUAUUUAUUUGUAAACAUAGUUAUUGAUACUAUGAAUAUAAAUGCUAUUAAUUGUUAUUACUAAUGUAUAUAUACAGAAUGGUAUCAGGCAUGGGAAAAUCAAAGCAUCUAAUAGAUGAAUUGGUUGCUGUCAAUGAUUGUAGUCGAAUACUGCAUCCCAAAAUUAUAGGAAGUAAAGGGAAGAGGAGGUUAUUUUUUAUUAUUUUUUUUUUCAUCGGGAGGUUAUAAAAUGCCAAGGGAAGAGGAGGUUAUAAUAAUAUAUACAUGUCAUGGCAGUUAAUUUUUAAGAAGGUGGGCUAUAAAUAAUUGGACCAAACAAAUAUCAAAUGGUCAUGCUGUAGAAUUAAUAGAAUAGAUGAAAUUCCAGCGUGGGUAUUUUUAACACUUUUUCAGUCAACAAUGAAAAACUUUUCAAUGUCUUGAGUUUUUUCAGCGAGAUUUAUUAUCUACUAGAUUUGGACCCAUGCGUUGCAACAGGCUUUAUUUGAUAUUUUAAUUUAAUAAAAAAUAUUAAAAACUCAUUUUAUUAUUUUUAAUUUUUUUUGCAUAUGUUAUGUGAAAUUUAUGUUAUAGUUAAGAACUCAUUUUCACACAUAAGUUUCAGUUAAUAUUUG